UAGUGCUGCAAUGUAAACAUUGCAGUUUUUCUAAAACUGCAAUAUUUUACAUUGCAACACUA
rnacentral:miRNA from 1 species